AUUGAACGCUGGCGGCGUGCCUAACACAUGCAAGUCGAGCGGUAACAGGUGUAGCAAUACAUGCUGACGAGCGGCGGACGGGUGAGUAACGCUUGGGAAUCUGCCUAUUAGUGGGGGACAACCCGGGGAAACUCGGGCUAAUACCGCAUACGCACUACGGUGGAAAGCCGGGGACCGCAAGGCCUGGCGCUAACAGAUGAGCCCAAGUCGGAUUAGCUAGUUGGUAGGGUAACGGCCUACCAAGGCGACGAUCCGUAACUGGUCUGAGAGGACGACCAGUCACACCGGAACUGAGACACGGUCCGGACUCCUACGGGAGGCAGCAGUGGGGAAUAUUGGACAAUGGGCGAAAGCCUGAUCCAGCGACGCCGCGUGGGUGAAGAAGGCCUGCGGGUUGUAAAGCCCUUUCAGUGGGGAAGAAAAGCCUCGAGCUAACACCUCGGGGUCUUGACGUAACCCAUAGAAGAAGCACCGGCUAACUCUGUGCCAGCCGCCGCAGUAAG
rnacentral:rRNA from 1 species